rnacentral:rRNA from 1 species
AUCAAUCGGAAGCAUGACUAUGCAUGUCAGUCGGACGGCCGCGCUUCCUUCUGCCUGCCAGUGAGUGACGGAUGAGUGAUACAUCCAUCCGAGCCCGGCCUGGCGGGAGAACUAACUAGACGAAAGAUUAAUACCUACCACAACCUACCUGUGGGUGAAAGCGACCGACCGGCCUGCCUCGCUCGAUACGACCGAUCUAUGAUUGAUUAGCUGGUGGGGGGAAGGACUGCCUACGAAACCAACAAUCACUGGCUGGACAGAAAGAACAAUCACCCUGGCUGUGACUGACACACCGCACUCACUCCUACGGCAGGCAUGGGUGAUUAAUUUUGAUGGAUGCAACCCUCCUUCAUCCAUGCCUGCCGUGUGAGUAAAGACUGCCUUCUGUUUGUAAAUUUUUUUUGUCCAGAAAUGAACGUGGCUGGUUCCCACCCUCGAUCAAUGACCCGACCGAAUAAAUACCCACCAACUACCUGCCUGCCACCGCCCGAAUACAUACGGAGGGAGCGAGCGUCAAUCUUACUGACUGGAAAUAAAGCGCGCGCGGGUUGAUAGAACAGACAUGAAUUCCCUCCCCUCACUCUGCCUAUGACUGUUGUUAGUGACUGGCUGGAUUGAGUGCGAGAGAGGGAGGAUUACAUCCGCGUGUAGCAAUUGCAUGCAGAUAGGUAGGAAUACCUACCGAUGGCGAAGGCCCCUGCCUGGUACCUGACUGACACUCAUGAACGAAAGCGUGGGGAGCAAGAAUAAAUACAUAGCCUGUCCGCCCCCGCCCCGAUGUAUGUCAGCUGUUGGUGAUUCAUUUCUUCCUUCACGUACCUAACUAACGCAUGUAACCGACUGGCUGGGGCGUACGCAGCUAGAUUAUCAAUGGAAUUGAUUGAGUACCCAACCGCACCAGUCGAUGAAUGGAGUGGAUUAAUUGCAUCCAGCAAACUACCUACCUCUCCAUGACAAUCCAUUAUUCCAAGACCAUAUAUUUACUG